UGGGGAAUAUUGCACAAUGGGCGCAAGCCUGAUGCAGCCAUGCCGCGUGUAUGAAGAAGGCCUUCGGGUUGUAAAGUACUUUCAGCGGGGAGGAAGGCGAUAAGGUUAAUAACCUUGUCGAUUGACGUUACCCGCAGAAGAAGCACCGGCUAACUCCGCGCCAGCAGCCGCGGUAAUACGGAGGGUGCAAGCGUUAAUCGGAAUUACUGGGCGUAAAGCGCACGCAGGCGGUCUGUCAAGUCGGAUGUGAAAUCCCCGGGCUCAACCUGGGAACUGCAUUCGAAACUGGCAGGCUAGAGUCUUGUAGAGGGGGGUAGAAUUCCAGGUGUAGCGGUGAAAUGCGUAGAGAUCUGGAGGAAUACCGGUGGCGAAGGCGGCCCCCUGGACAAAGACUGACGCUCAGGUGCGAAAGCGUGGGGAGCAAACA
rnacentral:rRNA from 1 species